rnacentral:lncRNA from 1 species
CGGGUAUGUUUUUUAUCCAGCCGUGUCAAUGCUGCCCCCUAGCCCUAACAGGUUAAAUACAGCACUAACCUUUGAUGAUCUUCAUCAGAUGACACUCCUAGGACAUUAUGUUAUACAAUACAUGCAUGUUUUGUUCAAUCAAGUUCAUAUUUAUAUCAAAAAACAGCUAGCAAGCGUCCCACCUAGCCCAUAGAGGUUAACAGAGUCUGAGGACAUGAAUGACAGCCUUGUGGAUUCAGCUGCCAUGGACACUGCAGUGGAUGAUGAUGCUGAGUAGAGAACAAGAGUGUGGGUGUCAGAGUUGCCUUCUGAAGGAACAGGUGACACAAGCCUGGAGGGUGAUGUGCGAUCCUUGGAUGCUCAGGAUAUUCCACCUUUGGAUUCUGUGGAAGACACACUGCAGCUGGAAGGUCUGCCUCGAUCAGAGAGUCUUCAAGAAUCUGACCGAGACCGUAACAGUGUAGUGAGUGAGCUAAUUGACCAGUCUGCUUACGAUAUCCGUACUGACCUACCAAACUCGGACCAUUCCUUACCUGAUCAGUUACGCACUGCCUGUGUUGACAGACCCACUAUCGCAACAGUACACAACACUGUUACCCCUUAUGCAGUUGAAGGUACUCGGGGUUGUAUUAGGUCAAGGGCAGGAAGACUAUUUAGACCAGUGUCUAGACUGAUUGAGAUUAUGAAUCAGCAGAAAGUUAGCUCUUGAAGGUUAAUAUUUGAAUAGAGAGGGUCAAUGGUAUUGACAUCUUUUAUUUGUUUUGUUUUUACAUCAUCGUGACCAUGAUUAGAGAUGGCAGGAUGGUAAUGUGACGGAUAUGAUAAAGCCUCACAUGGUAGUUUAUUUUAUUACUUGGAUGUUUUAAAGUCGCUGAGUGUACUUAACAUGUAACAGUCAUCUUUACCUAUGAGAGCUAAGGGGAUUGAUCAACCACUUUUCACUCUAAUUCUCAAGGAGAAUAGUGUAAUGACUGGAGUAUUUAGUGACUGUUUUAAAGCAGGGUCUGCAUCCUCGAUAUACACAGCUUUACCAUUUAGUUUUCUCUAUUGGGUAGUAUAAAAACAUAUCUAUUUUUUUUUUUCUUCUCUGUGGAUUAUUCUGUACAUAUGUUGAGUGUAUCUGUACCUGGUGUGUUUGCACAGUGUGGUUUUGUAUUUGUAUUAUUUUUCUUUGCAAGUGGAAUUCAGUAGGGGGGAGUGUAACAGGGUUAUAUUGGUGAUUCCCCUUGCCACUUUAUUGUUAAGCCAAUGGGUUUUUGGUUUUAUUUUGUCUUGCCUUCACCUACUCAACAUGGCAUCUUAUUGGCUGGUUUGCGUAGCUUGCUUACGAGGGAGGAUGUUUCAGUUAGAAUCGUCCCAGUGAACAAGCACCAAACCAGCGAAUAAAGCUCCAUGACUGGUGCUACAAGUUGGAGUUCGUGUCGAUGAUUGAUUGUACACAACGUCAGAAGAGUACUGUUACAUAUGCAUGUUAUAAAGUUAGCGGGAAGGAGAGUGUGUCAGGUUCUGAGGCUCAUUCGAAUGAAGGAAAGUGGUGCUGUGGAACCGCGGUGGCCCUAAGAAAACACUCAUCCUAUACAGAGGCAGUCUGUCGAGUAAGGAGGACAAGCCAUGUCUGCCACUAUAAGCAGCUUUCCUAAUAACAGUACUUUCUAACACUCAGACAUGGGUCUCAAUAACAAAGAUCUGUGCAUAUGGAGCAUGGCCAUGGUCCUAAUAGUGGUUUUGCUGUCACUUAUCUAUGGCUUGUGUUACUUCUAUGGGCUAUGUGCAAGGAAGAUAAGAUACAGCAGCCUGCCUUUGAUUUCGGUGUGAUUCUAUUAUGUGCAUCAUGUCAUGUUACUCAGUUUACCUGCUAAUAAACAGUGACAUGUGGUUUUGUGGUAGUGAUCUUUAUUGGUCAGCCAAACAAACAACACAUGAACUAUACAAUGAAAUAGGACAUGUGUCUAGAUAGUAUAUUAUAUUAUAUUAGUUACACAGCUGAAGUGAUGAAGUGUGUUGCCUGGAGAUGACCUAAUGUCACAUGUUGCAGAAGGGCUCCUCUGUCAUUCUAGCUGGGUCCCGGUGUCACAGGCCCGUUGCGGAUCUGUUCUGGUUCUAUUCAGAUGUAGAGGAUGAGUAAGAAACAAACAGUAGAACCCAGUUUUAUGUUUCUGAUGUAGUUGUAGAUGUAGCAAGGCUAUGGUUUAUAUAUAUAUACGGACUGGAGAGGUAGUUACCUUGUUCCACAACGCUAAUCACAGAAGCCUCUGAGGCCUCCACGACAUUACCGUCACACCAACAGUUCCCAUUGUAGCUCAUCCCGUCACAGGAGCACGUUGUGGGCACAUACACGGUGUCAUACUGUAGCGAAUGAACACGCGAACAUGGUGUGUAAAUAAAGGACGAUGGAUGGCCUUCUGCUACAGGUCCUGUGAGUUAUCAGAAUCGCCAACCCAAAAACAAUCAUCAACGGAGCCCCUAUCAAGGACAUGUUCAGCCAAUCGUCCUUGUUGCUAAUCCACC